GAGAGGAGCUUGCUCCUCGAUUCAGCGGCGGACGGGUGAGUAAUGCCUAGGAAUCUGCCUAGUAGUGGGGGACAACGUUUCGAAAGGAACGCUAAUACCGCAUACGUCCUACGGGAGAAAGUGGGGGAUCUUCGGACCUCACGCUAUUAGAUGAGCCUAGGUCGGAUUAGCUAGUUGGUAGGGUAAAGGCCUACCAAGGCGACGAUCCGUAACUGGUCUGAGAGGAUGAUCAGUCACACUGGAACUGAGACACGGUCCAGACUCCUACGGGAGGCAGCAGUGGGGAAUAUUGGACAAUGGGCGAAAGCCUGAUCCAGCCAUGCCGCGUGUGUGAAGAAGGCCUUCGGGUCGUAAAGCACUUUAAGUUGGGAGGAAGGGCUCAUAGCGAAUACCUGUGAGUUUUGACGUUACCAACAGAAUAAGCACCGGCUAACUUCGUGCCAGCAGCCGCGGUAAUACGAAGGGUGCAAGCGUUAAUCGGAAUUACUGGGCGUAAAGCGCGCGUAGGUGGCUUGAUAAGUUGGAUGUGAAAUCCCCGGGCUCAACCUGGGGACUGCAUCCAAAACUGUCUGGCUAGAGUGCGGUAGAGGGUAGUGGAAUUUCCAGUGUAGCGGUGAAAUGCGUAGAUAUUGGAAGGAACACCAGUGGCGAAGGCGACUACCUGGACUGACACUGACACUGAGGUGCGAAAGCGUGGGGAGCAAACAGGA
rnacentral:rRNA from 1 species